GCCGGCGAGGGGUGGAGGAGGCAGGAGGCGGUGACGCGUUGGGUCAGAUCGAAGAUGCUCACCAAUAAAUCAUUAUUAAGUUACGUUGAGUUUUUUUAUUAAAGUCCACGUCAAUUCCAAGUAGAUUAAUCGGUCCACAUAGGGGUGAGCAAAAAAUCCGAAACCGAAUAACCGAACCGAUCCAAACCGAAAUUUUAAAAUAUGGUUCGGUUUUUUCGGUUUUUCGGUUCGGUUCGGUUUUUUUUUUACAAAAUUUCGGUUUUUCGGUUCGGUUCGGUUCGGAUUUUUUAAAACCGAACAAAACCGAAAACCGAAUUAUAUAUAUAUAUAUAUAUAUAUAUAUAAUAUUUUAAUUAUAUACUUAAAAUAUCUAACCCUAAUUCUAAUUUCUGACUUCUAAGCCCUAAAGGCAGCGCCGCUGCCUCACUUUCAAGUUUCAAAUCUGAAAGAAUUCAUCUUCUUCUUCGUUCCUGCCUGCACCUGCGAGUCUGCGACCUAAGGAAGCGCCGCCGCGGCCUCUUGUUCGUCACGUCGUCGUCGUCGGUCGCCACCCCACCCUGCCUCACGCCCCACGCGGCAACGCCGGCCACUCCACGGCGCCUGGAGGCUGGAACUUCUGCUGCUGCUUUCACUCCCACCCUCGCCGCCCUGCUACAAAUCAGCGCCGCCGCUGCCCGCCUGCUUUCACUCCACCACCGUCUAGCAGAUAUUUCAAGGUUUCGGCAGCGAAAUUUUGUGUUUUGGGCAGAAAUUAAAGUCUCCACAAUAGAUUCUUCAGCAGCUAGUUGUAAUGUAAGUGUUGUACAUUGAAAUUGUGGACUCUUUCCUUGAUCAUUUGUUGCUAAUUUGUUGUUGAUUUGAUGGAUAUUUAGAAACUCUUUAGUUUGUUGGCUAUGGAUGUUCUAGUAUUUAAUUUGGUGAGUGUGAUGAAUGGAUUCAAUACUUAUGCAAAUUUUAAUUAUUAGGUUGUUAUA